rnacentral:tRNA from 1 species
UCCCUGGUGGCUCAGAUGGUAAAGCACCUGCCUCCAAUGUUGGAGGCCCAGGUUCGAUCCCUGGGUUGGGAA